UACGUAGGGUGCGAGCGUUAUUCGGAAUUACUGGGCGUAAAGAGUGUGUAGGCGGCGCUCUAAGUUCGGUGUGAAAUCUCUCGCUUAACUGGGAGGGUGCGCCCGGAAACUGGAGUGCUCGAACGUGGGAGAGGAAAGCGGAAUUCCUGGUGUAGCGGUGAAAUGCGUAGAGAUCGGGAGGAACACCAGAGGCGAAGGCGGCUAGCUGGAUAGGCACUGACACUCAACUACGAAAGCGUGGGUAGCAAACAGG
rnacentral:rRNA from 1 species